rnacentral:lncRNA from 1 species
GGAAGGGCAGCCAAUACCCUACCCCAUUUGCGAACCAAAGAAAUGUUUUUAGGGGGCUGCAUUUUCCUACUCCAAGCUGCGGAGAAGGAUGCGCGACAGAUUAACCCCUCGGUGGCGACUCCUUUGUCUGGCCCGGCCACUGCUGAGACGACAGAGCGGCGCCCUCGGCCUGAGGACUGGGCACCAGUGCCCGAGGAGCGCGCCGGCCGUCCGAAGGCCCCUUCUCCAGCCCAGGUGUGCAGGCUGCGGGCGGGGCCUCGGCGGCAGGUUCGGCUGAGCCACGCGGUCUUCGGGGCCCACGUGCGAUGCCCCGGGAGCUGCGCCCCUGACGCCACCAGCCAUGGAGCGGGAGAGAACGUGAAGGAAGUCUUGGGCCGUUUAGAUUGUUUUAAAAACUCGAAUUAAUUGGGAAAAUAGUAACUGUGCUCCCCAACGCAAAGAAGAGGUUGAGAGGGGAAGUCUUUUUUUAAUUAUACCCCCUUGUUGUGGCGGUUGUUUCUGACCUUUUCCUACUAUUAAGAGAAAUGUUGCCACAUUUAAUUUUUGUUGCCAUGAGAUAUGCAGAGGGUAGCCCAACAUUUUGAAGUAAUUUGAUAAGCUUUCGAGUAGCAAAUCCGAAAGGGAGGCUGGCGGCCCAGGUAUAGUUUCUUUAUAACCUGAAUUUACAAUGAAAGCAUUCUCCUUUAUGGAUAUAAUAGAUUAGAUUUCACAACUUAAUUCACCGGAAUGGCUCCGUUUAAGGGAGCUCCGGCUGAUUUUAUUACGCCAAGCCAAAUUGGAUGUUUGUGGUCUUAACGAAAAGCGAUUGUGACAUAAAAUAUAUAAUUUUUAAAGUAAAGAAACCCAGCGGGUUCGACCCUGUCCCCUCCUCUCCACCCCCGGUCCUCCUCACCCCCGGUUCCCCAGUUUGGGGAAUGCAGAGAAUUAUUUGUUUGUUGAUUUCCGCCAGAGACAGGAACUCACACCCGGGAGGGGCCGGGCGGGAAGCGCCGCUCGGGCGGGGGCUGGGCGCCGGGGGCAGCGGGCCUCGCCUCUCCCGCGGCCUCUCCCGCUGGGCCCCGCCGCUCGCCCUUCCCACGCCGCGCAGGCCUCGCCGGCGGCGCGCACGCGGUGCCGUUUCCCCCCGAAGGCGUGGGGCCCGCUUCUCGGGCUCCUUCGAAACGUCGAAACCCCCGGCACAGGCUCCGGAGUCUCGGGGCCCUCGGAACACCCAUGGGGGCCGAAGCGUCUGCUCGCCCCGCGGCGCAGGGCCUGCUCCGCGCCCGCGCCGACGACGAGGCCUCGCCCAGGGUGCCAGCAAGACCCACCGCGUCCCGGACCCACUGCGUUCUCCACCUGCAGCCCCUCGGGGGCCCAGACGGCGAGUGAGGCCCUGGGGAGUGGGCGUCAGCGCCCAGAACUUUCCAGGCCCAGCCAAACCCCCGCCUCUAAGCGGACCGACCCCAGAGCCCGCCCUCUCCGCCCGGCGGGUUGACGCUCCCUCCCCCAGCGGAGAAAGGCGCAGCCCGCUGGGCAAGUGGAGGACCGAGGUGGGGAUGGGGUCUUGAUGACCCUGCCCGAGCCUGGCCCGCCAGCGCCCGCGGCCCAUUCCCCUGUCACUUAUGAUUAAGGUCGGGCUCCAUUCUCCCGAUAGCGGCGUCCUCCUCUUCCUUUCUGCCCCCCGCCCCCAUUUAUUGGGUGGUUUGUUGAAGAUGGAUUUAGCAUUCCCCUCCCCGAGCAUCCGGGGCAGAAGGCAGCCCCGAGCGAGCGCGGGCCACCCCUCCCCAGUCGGUCUCCGGGCCGGCUGGCACGCGGAAGCCAGAGCCACUGCGACCGCCACGCCGGGCAGGGCUUCGGCCCGAGACCCCGGCCGCGACGUGGGGCCGAGGCUGGAGGGACCGCCGGGCGCUCCACUUGGCUCUCGCCGGGCCACGAACCCCGAAUCCCGCGCUGCGCAUCCGGCGGGCUGCGGGUGCGCGCCUUGAAUUAAAUCUUCGCAGCGCCUGACCUUGUUUUUUCCUCCGCCCGAUAGCAGCAGCAGCUGUUUUUUCCAGAAUUCCUGCUGCUGGGGGAGGGGCGUUAUUAUUAUUAUUUUUUGGUUGUCACAACCUCCUGGAGAAAUUCCCUGGCCUCGGAAAGUGUAACAAUAGCCCAGCUCCUUUCUGGAGGAAGCGCCCCCUCCUCUCCUUUCUCCAGGGACCCCUCUGCCCUCGGGCUGCUCCUGGGACCUCCUCCACUGUUCCAGCCCCAGCCCCCUCCUGGCCCUUCAGACCUGGCUCCCAAAUGCCUUGGGGUCCUGCUCCUGCCCCCCUCACUUCUGGGAGAGGUCACAGCUUUCUGAACCGGGGAGAAGUUAGUGGUCUCCUCCAGCAUGGUUGGGGGACGACUGGAGCCUUCCGGCCCCGCCCCCACCCCCAGCCCAUUCGGUGCUACGCCUCGCUGGGGUGUCCCUUCUCCAGGAAACCUAGCCGUGUUUGCUUUUGGGGUCAGCGCUAGCCUCGAGGUAGUUAAAGAUUAAUGGGCCUGGGCCCUGGAGGAUGGGAGGAGGGGGCCUGGGGACGGAGUCUGGCACAGGUGGUGUCUGUGGUCCCUCCCCUGCGGCCAGGCCCGGGCUGGCCUCUGCACUCACAGAUACUCCCCCCUCCAUCCAUAGGGCUGAAUAGUGGGUUCACCUAGGCAGCAGUUGCUGCUCACCUGUCCCGCCAGGGAGGAAAUUGGGGAGCUCUGGUUCCAGACGUGACCUGGCUUCCGGCUUGCCCCCUGCAGACUCCCAGUGCAUAGUGCGGAAAGAGGAGGGGACUUUGGCCGUCCUGGCCCCCUCCCCCAGUGCUGCAGCAAGCCUAGAAAAGUGGCCUUGCUGAGGAAGGGCCAGGGAAAGCCAGACUGGCUGGCUGGUCUUGCGGUGUGCAGGCUGGCCUGGGCCUCCUGGUAUCGGCCUCGCCGGGUCAGUCCCAUUCAGCUUCUCUGUCACUGGGGGUGGGGGGAGUGUACGUGGAGGGGCUGCCAGGGGCCCUUACACAGCCCUCUCUGCUGGGCCCUCCUUGGUCAAGAAGGGGAGAGGGGCAGGUCCCAGCCCCACCCACCGAGGCUUCUCUCCCCCGGACCCCCUGACCCAUCCACCACGUAGCCUCCAGGACCUUCCCCAGAAGCCCUGGUCCUGCCGUGAGUUGAUUUACCUUCGUCUCACCAGGUGCACGGCUUUGACACACGGCCUGCGAGGAGGACGGAAUGAACUUUAGUCUCCAGGCCUUCAAGGCGGUAGGGACUAUACUUCAUUAAUGGUUGUUAUGCAAUAAAAACGAUAAAAUGGUCCCUAUUUGCGAUUUAAAAAUGUAAUUUAUUUUAAUUUACAUUUCUAAGUACUUCUGGGGUUUGAUGGGGG